rnacentral:rRNA from 1 species
CCUACGGGGGGCUGCAGUGAGGAAUAUUGGUCAAUGGGCGGAAGCCUGAACCAGCCAAGUAGCGUGCAGGAUGACGGCCCUACGGGUUGUAAACUGCUUUUAUACGGGAAUAACGCGCCUUACGUGUAGGGCUUUGCAUGUACCGUAUGAAUAAGGACCGGCUAAUUCCGUGCCAGCAGCCGCGGUAAUACGGAAGGUCCGGGCGUUAUCCGGAUUUAUUGGGUUUAAAGGGAGCGUAGGCCACAUGUCAAGCGUGCUGUGAAAUGUCCGGGCUCAACCUCGCUCCGCCGUUGAAACUGGCGUUCGUGAGUGGGCGAGAAGUAUGCGGAAUGCGUGGUGUAGCGGUGAAAUGCAUAGAUAUCACGCAGAACUCCGAUUGCGAAGGCAGCAUACCGGCGCCCAACUGACGCUGAAGCACGAAAGCGUGGGUAUCGAACAGGAUUAGAUACCCCAGUAGUC